rnacentral:rRNA from 1 species
GUAGGUGGCAAGCGUUGUCCGGAAUUAUUGGGCGUAAAGCGCGCGCAGGCGGUCCUUUAAGUCUGAUGUGAAAGCCCACGGCUCAACCGUGGAGGGUCAUUGGAAACUGGAGAACUUGAGUACAGAAGAGGAAAGCGGAAUUCCACGUGUAGCGGUGAAAUGCGUAGAGAUGUGGAGGAACACCAGUGGCGAAGGCGGCUUUCUGGUCUGUAACUGACGCUGAGGCGCGAAAGCGUGGGGAGCAAACAGGGAUUAGAUACCCUGGUAGUCCACGCCGUAAACGAUGAGUGCUAAGUGUUAGGGGGGUUUCCGCCCCCUUAGUGCUGCAGCUAACGCAUUAAGCACUCCGCCUGGGGAUACGGCCGCAAGGCUG